CGUCAGUGACCACAGUUUUACAUCAGUGGUCCCAGCUUUACGGCCAAGGCCUCAAAUUUAUGUUAGUGGCCUCGGGUUUACUUCACAGACGCCAGACUUACGUCAGUGGCCCCGGCUUACAGCUGUGGCCUUGGAUUCACCUCUAUGGCCCUAGUUUUGACUGCCACUGGGCGCAGGUCCUGGCUGUGGUGGCCGCAGGGUCUGAGGUUCGAGGCCCCCAGGACUGUACACAACUGCCUCGGUGAAAAGCAGGUGUCUGAGGGUCUGGUUUGGAGUCAGCCGGAGUCUCUUGCUGACUGAGACUGUCCCAUUAGGGAUGCUGUUAGGUUUGGGCAAACCCUGAACGGCAACACAGACUCGGCCCAGUGUCCGCAUGUCCACGGUCGCCUCAGCUUCGUUCACAGCAGCCGCGGCCGCAGGCCCAGGUGUCCGUGAGGGGUGGGCCAGUGCAGACGCAGGGUGUUCACACACGCACGACGGGACACUACUCGGCGGGGAAGGAGAACGUGCAGCCGUUAGGGCCUCAGAUUCACACGUGUAAAUUACAGAAAAACAAAAUUCUGCCAGAAAAUUGUAUGGAAACUGUUCUCAAGUAUUUCCGCACAGCUGAGCAGAGGGAAAGAAGGCCCAGGAGGCACCCAGGUCGAUCACACCUGGUGUUAAAAAUCCUGAGGAACCCUGGCUGAUGACACAGCAGCCACACAUCUCUAAAGGUUCAAGCCAUUCUUUAAAGGAUAUGAAUGUGGUACAGGCGGUUACACUCCACCUGGACUCCUCAUCCACAAGGACUCGCUACCUGGCUGGGGGCUCUGGCAGCACA
ensembl:lncRNA